rnacentral:rRNA from 1 species
UACGAAGGGGGCUAGCGUUGCUCGGAAUCACUGGGCGUAAAGGGUGCGUAGGCGGGUCUUUAAGUCAGUGGUGAAAGCCCGGAGCUCAACUCCGGAACUGCCAUUGAAACUGUAAGACUUGAGGAUGAGAGAGGUGAGUGGAAUUCCCAGUGUAGAGGUGAAAUUCGUAGAUAUUGGGAAGAACACCGGUGGCGAAGGCGGCUCACUGGCUCAUAUCUGACGCUCAGGCGCGACAGCGUGGGGAUCAAACAGG